CAGCGCCGCGGUAAUACGUAGGGUGCAAGCGUUAAUCGGAAUUACUGGGCGUAAAGCGUGCGCAGGCGGUUCGUUAAGACAGAUGUGAAAUCCCCGGGCUUAACCUGGGAACUGCAUUUGUGACUGGCGGGCUAGAGUAUGGCAGAGGGGGGUAGAAUUCCACGUGUAGCAGUGAAAUGCGUAGAGAUGUGGAGGAAUACCGAUGGCGAAGGCAGCCCCCUGGGCCAAUACUGACGCUCAUGCACGAACGCGUGGGGAGCAAACAGGAUUAGAUACCCGCGUAGUCCCUGUCUCUUAUACA
rnacentral:rRNA from 1 species